GGGCUGUAUGCCCUGCUGGGAGGGGCAUGGCUCCUGGGAUGUGCCGUGGCGACGGUCACAACCUUCCGAGCGGCGCUCUGACCGUCGGACAGCUCU
rnacentral:tRNA from 1 species